rnacentral:rRNA from 1 species
GCGGAAGGAUCAUUAUCGAAUAAACUUUGAACAGGCUGUUGCUGUCCCCUAGGGGGGGAUGUGCACGCUUGUCAUCUUUAUUUCUCCAACUGUGCACAUAUUGUAGACCUGGGAUUUGGGACUGCUGUUUACAUACAUAUACAGCUUUGCCUUGGGUUUUUCUCUAGGAUCUAUGUUAUUAUCAAAAAAGACCCUGUCGAAUGUGUUUGGAAAUUUGUGACAAAUAUACAACUUUCAGCAACGGAUCUCUUGGCUCUCGCAUCGAUGAAGAACGCAGCGAAAUGCGAUAAGUAAUGUGAAUUGCAGAAUUCAGUGAAUCAUCGAAUCUUUGAACGCAUCUUGCGCUCCUUGGUAUUCCGAGGAGCAUGCCUGUUUGAGUGUCAUUAAAGUUUCUCAACCACCCACCAUCUGUGUGUGGCUUUGGAUAUUGGGGGUCCUUGCAGGCUUUUCAAAGUCGGCUCCCCUGAAAUGCAUUAGUGGUGUCUGGUGUACCCUACAGGUGUGAUAAAUUAUUUUUAUGCCCUUUGGUACGCAUCGUGUGUGCUGCUUCUGAACGGAGUGAAUUUUGAUAAUGAUACUUGACCUCAAA